UUUCAGCUUAGACAGUCCUUUUAUUAAUCUUGUACAAAGGAAUUCGAUAAAUGGUAGCAAGUGGAGGAGUUUAAGUGCACGAGCACCACUUUCACCCUUGCUCAGGCUCUGCUGAGUCUGCUAUGCUAACUUUCUCUGCACUUUCUACACAAUUAACUGCUCAGGCCACACACUGGCCAUCAAUCAAUGCAUCACCAUUGUUACUACUCCAGAGCCCAGGCAGCAGGAAGACACUGAGCUCAUAGUAGGAACCCAAGUAUUAUAUCCAGGUAAAAGGCUAACUAAAGGUGGCUGGGGCAACCAUAUCAGGUCCUUUUAUUGCAGUAUUGCAGGGUCACAUGGCUGCAGGUAUAUAAGCCUUAGUAAGCCUCAUGCCGACGCACUGCUCAAAGAAGCAGGACUUCACCUUGAAGAGUCAGAAGAACAUUGCCGUAAAUCUGAGUUUGUCUCCGAUGGACACGGGCACUCCCAUUCUGCUAUCUCCUGGUAGGGUUGGCUAAGCCUGUCCUUUGAUGUAUUGCAUUAACUGUAAUGGCUGUUAGAUCCAUGUGUGGAGUGUUUGCUCUCCCUGGUCCUGCAGCCUGUCUUCCGCAGAACGGUUCCUCUCAACUGACCAUUGCUGCUCUGGAGACCCUGGUGCUGGCUGAGAAGUCCAGUUUCUGAAGAAACACACUUCUCAUGGAAAAAUGCAGAAGUCAAAGGAGAAAAUCCAACCCCACAAGCACAUUUCAAGCCUUAUAAUAUCCCUUGACCAAAGCAAGUCCCAGGACCACCCCCAACGUCAAGGAGCCAGGAAAAACAGAGGAAGUACAGUCUGUCCACCUGGAAGCCAUUGGAAGAAUGUAGAUGUAUGAUAAUAUUGAUUUGAUAAGAUUUACAAGAAAGAGAUUAACUUAAAUACUACAAAAGCAUAAUGCAUCCAAUGAACUCAGACUUUUCAUUUCGAAAAAGAGAAAUAUCCCUUCCAAAUGACUCUGAAAAUUUUAGAAAAUUAUGAUAGUAUAAACAGUGCCUGUGAACAGUACAGUAGAAGCAAUGGACAGGUGGGAGGCAAGCUGGAACAACUGAAGCCUGGAGGACGAAGAAGAAGGCCAUACUUCUUAUAGCCCAGCAUUUAAAUAAUGUGAAAGAAGGAGAGCGGUAAGGAGGUAUUCUCUGUGGAGAUGGUGCAUAGAGGUUGAAUAUAUGAGAGAAAAUGUAGUCCAAAAGAGCAAAACUAAGAGUAAAGAGAAUGUGGUGAGACCAGGAGGAGGGAUCAGAGACUUAGCCCUGAUUGGAAUCUGGGACUCUCCUGAUGGGAACUUUCACUGAGUCUUUUGUGUCCUGUCAACAUAUCUUUAUUGGAACAAAUUUCCCACUUCAGUGUAACCAGAACUAAGUUAGUGUCUAUGUACAGGGAAAUGUUUCAGUCAAAGAUCCCAGAUAGGAGGUUGACUACUGUACAGGAAUGCUGUAUAAUAGAAGUAUGAAGAAAUUUGAAGGUUUAAUGAAAAAGGUGUCUGGAUUCAAGAUACAAAUGGUAAGUAUAGUAGUGUAUCAGCAUGGCUGAGUUGCUUCAGAAAACUUUAAUGCAGGAAUCAGUCAGGGAACCUGGUCCUGGAAGUUGGAUACCCAAAGAAAGGAGUUGAGUGCAGAAACUUCCUAUCAGAAAAUCCAGGGAAUCUUUUGGAGCAGUGGUGGAGGCAGCUGUUUAACCUGAAGCCAGCAAGUAGUAUUAGCUCAUAAACAAAAUUAACAAAUAAAAUAGCUUGCAUCUGUAUUGACCAAGGGAGCAGAAAGAAGUCACAGCGAGAUUGAGAGGAAAUUAUCUGUAUGGAGUAUAUGAACUUAGAUCCCAACCCAGUUAGCCUUGUGAGCUCUGCUCCUAGUGACUCUGCAGGGGCAACUUCACGUGAAAUAUGAUGGAAAAAGGUCAGAAGUCCAGGGGACACGGUCCUAAGCAAGAAAUAUAUAGGAUGUAUACGAUAUGGGUGCAGUGGCAAGAUAGAGUAAGAUCUUUAGAGCGUAUGUAAGAAUGUUCCUGAGAGCCAGAUUUGUUCACAACAGAUCAAGGAGAUUUUUCUGGAGCUCAAAUGCUAAAAACUCCCUGGGUCCAGGGGUGUCUGCCUGGAAUUCCCUAAUUUUGUAGGCAUAUAUCAUAUGAUAGGACAAGGGAUGAGAUGGUAGGGUAAACAGUAAAUUGAGAAUAUGAGGAUGAGCUCCUGUCUUUGGAAAUCCCAGAAGUUACAAGACAGCAACACAACCACACAAGCAGCCUUAAUAGGAAGAGAUAUGAAGAGAAACUUGAAAUUUUAAUCAUGAUUCUUCCAAAAUUUUGCAACAAUUGGUACUAUAUGCCCCUGUUCAUUCGGAAAUCACAGAAAAUUCUCUUAUCUGGGCCAUCACUCAUCUAAGUCCCUCCCCACACGCCAAAGUCUUACCUUUUGGCUUCUUCAUCCAUGGCUCUUAUAAUCUAACAGUGGAGAGCUGGGGCCAUGGACACUUCUCGGCCUCUGAACUCUUCUAUAUUGUGAGAUUCCUACUUUGAGAAUGCACAAGUGCCCUCACCUGCCUCUUUGUUCAGAAAGCUGCAGUAUCACCACUGCACCUUCCUUUGUGAACUUCUGGCAACUGAUGAUGUUAAGCUCAAAGUAGCAUCUGGAUAAUUGUUCAGAGAAAUGCCUAAUUUCCUUGGGUUCAGCAUAUUGGACUAAGGAGGAAAGUCUGAAGGUAUUACUUUGGUCUGGGAGUAACUGGAACCCAAAAGGUCC
rnacentral:lncRNA from 1 species